UUCACAAAGGUUUGGAGCAAGACUUCCAAGUCUCUCAUCGCUUAUGAAAGUGGACGGAUAUACUUUGAUAAUUACAGGUGUUGUUACAGCAGCCUUUUGCCUGAGCCAGAACAGCUGUAUGAGCUCCCCAAAGCCCCCAAAACGGAGAAGAUUGAAGAUGCAUUAUUAUGCCAGUGUCCUCUAGACAAAGUUCUGCCAAACGCUUCAGACCAGAAAUCAUGUCUGCUGGUCCUGACAGCUCAUAACUGGUUAUAUCGGCUCUCAGCUGACACAGGAAAAACACUAGAGCGGGUCUACCU